GUUGGGGCCUUCUGAGGAGGUGGGGAUUUCUCUCCACUUUCCAUAGUUUGUGGUAAGCAGACACAGAAGAGCUGUACCCCUGGGGCAGCCAUUGUCUCUCUUCCACAGGAUCAAGACAUUCACAGGGGCCACAAUCACAGUCACUGAACCUCAACUAGAAUGGAGUCCAAGGACGUUAUCCCCACUGCCCUCACAAGUAUUGGCAUAUUUUGGAACAAGCAGUCAAUCCAACCAACCAACCCAGCAACCUCUCGUUUAAAGUUGCUUCAUGUGUCUAUGUAUAGAUGAUCAUGAUCAUUUUCUGGAACGAGAUAGAGUUCAUCAUUCAUUUAAUGUCUGUUUUUCAUUUUCAUAAAUGUAAGUAUUAGGAAGUUUUGUUUAUAUUAAAAAAUGGC